rnacentral:rRNA from 1 species
GACGAACGCUGGCGACGUGCUUAACACAUGCAAGUCGAACGGAAAGGCCCUGCUUUUGUGGGGUGCUCGAGUGGCGAACGGGUGAGUAACACGUGAGUAACCUGCCCUUGACUUUGGGAUACUUCAGGAAACUGGGGCUAAUACCGGAUAGGAGCUCCUGCUGCAUGGUGGGGGUUGGAAAGUUUCGGCGGUUGGGGAUGGACUCGCGGCUUAUCAGCUUGUUGGUGGGGUAGUGGCUUACCAAGGCUUUGACGGGUAGCCGGCCUGAGAGGGUGACCGGCCACAUUGGGACUGAGAUACGGCCCAGACUCCUACGGGAGGCAGCAGUGGGGAAUAUUGCACAAUGGGCGGAAGCCUGAUGCAGCAACGCCGCGUGCGGGAUGACGGCCUUCGGGUUGUAAACCGCUUUCGCCUGUGACGAAGCGUGAGUGACGGUAAUGGGUAAAGAAGCACCGGCUAACUACGUG